rnacentral:lncRNA from 1 species
CCGGUCCGUUUGUCCCGGUCCGGGUUUAGCCCGGUUCCCGUUCUCUGAAACUGCAAGCCCGGCCCGAAAAAGAAUAGCCGGUCCCGGUCCCUACAAAUCCAAUGCCGGUCUGGGACCGUGCCCAGCCUUAGUCUCAAUUGCUGUAAUUCAUCUUAUUGUAAAAUAGCAAAAGCGCCAAUUCCAAAGCAGCAGCACCUCAGGAUUUGAAAGACGACGUGGAAACUCAGCUUCUCGCCGGUGCUUCAAAGCUUUGACUCCUCGUCGCUUACCAGCAGCGAUCGGUUCUCAUCGCCUACCAGCUCUGACCUCGUACCAGUUUCGAUUCCUCGUGGCCUACUAGCUCUGACUCCUUGCCAGCGACAACCGGUCCUCGUCGCCUACCAGCUCUAACUCCUAGAUCGCCUACCACCGGCGACCGGUCAUCUUCGGCCUCGUCUCGCCG